ACUCUUCCAAUGCAGGGAAGGAUGAGAAGCUUCGACUAAGGUUCGAUUCGAGCGUAGCGAGAAAGCGUUGCCGCAGGCAACGACCCGAAGGGUGAGGAGCGAAGCGACGAAUUAUCCUUCCCCCACUACCA
rnacentral:sRNA from 1 species